rnacentral:lncRNA from 1 species
CUCUCCCUUUGCAUCCUUAUAGAUCCUUUAGACAGAAAGCUUACUUUCAGCAUGUUGAACUGGGCCAUAUUAAAAGAAAUUAUCAAAAUAAUUUGUUGUACUUUUGCUAUAGAGGAUUUGAGCACACCUCUCGAUCUUGCAAGAGAUCUAUGCCUUCUUCUUCUACUAGCCAGCUCACUAAGCUUUCCUUCCACUCCGUCUCCAUUUUUCUCACUUUUGAUGAUGAAUCUAAAGCUAUAUUCUCUGAGUCUUGAUAUCUAGGAUCAUUUAAGUCACUAUUACAAAUGGCUCCCUGAUUACCAUGCCCAACUCUCUAAAUCCCUUGCCAUAGAGUUUUCGGAGGUCACUUCAAAGCCAAAAGUUUUGGAUGCAAACCACUUCCUAAUUGCCUUUCCUUCCAGAUCUAAGAUCAUGAAAGCCUUCCUCGCUGAUAUACAUUACUUUUCCAUUCCUAUCUCUCUAUCUC